GAUAAGGUUAAGUGAAUAAGGGCGCACGGUGGAUGCCUUGGCACUAGGAGCCGAUGAAGGACGGGACUAACACCGAUAUGCUUUGGGGAGCUGUAAGUAAGCUAUGAUCCAGAGAUUUCCGAAUGGGGGAACCCAAUAUCUUUUAUAGGAUAUUACUUUUCAGUGAAUACAUAGCUGAUUAGAGGUAGACGCAGAGAACUGAAACAUCUUAGUA
rnacentral:rRNA from 1 species